rnacentral:lncRNA from 9 species
AAUCGGAGCUGUAGCCACCGGCCUACGCCAGAGCCACAGCAACGCAGGAUCCGAGCCACGUCUGCAACCUACAUCACAGCUCAGGGCAACGCCGAAUCCUUAACCCACUGAGCAAGGCCAGGGAUCAAACCCACAACCUCAUGGUUCCUAGUCGGACUCGUUAACCACUGCGCCACGACGGGAACUCCAAGAGGGCCUUUUUCCUAACAGAACCAAAGGUCCUGCUCUCUUUUUCCCCUAGUACUCACAGUCAAGGACAGAGGCCUGCCCCUCACCAGGACAUCAGAGACCCGUCGGGACCUUUCUCCCCCCUGCCCCUUGAGGAACCCUGGCUGGCUUGCCGCACUACACCUAUUCUAUAUUACCCAGGGAGGCGCAAGCAAGCCCAAUGCCCAGCACAGAGAAAACGCUUGGUGCCACUACAAAGAAGUACAUUUCUGUUUAGAAGACUUCUUGCCGAGUCCACCACUCCAGCGAAUUGUGAGGUUUUCAUCCUAGCUGUAUCCUCCCUCCCUCUGUGGAUCAGCCUGGAAUGGUCCAAGGGCGUCUGAAUGGGCUCUUCUGCGAUGCCACCACCAUGGGGCGCGCGAGAUGAAACAGUUCUGUCCUGGGAUGUACCACUGAGGGGCGGAGGUGCUCCGUAAACACAUAGAGCAAGCACAUCAAAGGUGGCAGGUGCAAUGUAAACGGAAAAGGCUGGAUCAGGGGAAGGGGCAUGAGGUGAGGAUGUUUCUGUUUUACUCGGGGUAACAAAGGCAAAAUGAUUACCACAAUAAGGUUAGUUAGCACUGUAUCCGCUCACAUCAUUAUGUUUUUAAAAAGUUUUUUGGUGAUAACAUUUCAGUUCUUCUCUCAUUCUUUUCUAUUCCUUUCUUUUAUUUCUUGCUCUGUUUCUUUGUGUUUUAGUUCAUUUAUUUGUUUGUUUUGUUUUGUUUUGGGCUGCUCCUGAAGCAAGCGGACGUUCCUGGGCCAGGGCUCGACCCCACUCCACAGCAGCCACCCGAGCCAUGGCAGUGAAAACACUGGAUCCUUAACUCACUGUGCCACUUAAUUUUCAGUACAUAAUACAAUAUUAAGUAUCGUCACCAUGCUCUACGUUAGAUCCCCAUAACUUAUUCAUCUUAUAGCUAGAAGUUUGUACCCUUUGACCACCAUUUCCCCCAGCCCCUCGCAAGCACCCUUCCAAACUCUACUUCUGGUAGAGCUUCCAUGCCUGCCUGCUUACAUCUCUCAUAAGCGUCCUAUCUUAAUAAAUCUAUUUCUUGCCUAUCAAAGAUAAAUAAAUAAACUCUAUUUCUGUAACCUAGACGUUUUCAGAUUUCACAUGUAAGAGAGAACAUGCAUUAUUUGUCUUUCUCUCUGACUUAUUUCACUCACAUAUAUAUGCAUAUAUAUAACGUAGCAGGCUGGAGCCGAUAAUCCUUAGAAACUGUAGCUUGUUGACCUUACCUUGCAUCCGGGAACUUGGAUUUCAGGUGGUUUCCCACCGUUCCCUCCCCGAGAAGGGUAGGUUCCUCUUCCGAAACUGUCCAAACAAUAUGUUCGAUGCUAAACGCCUGCUUGCCUCCCGGGACCCUGGAAUCCUGGUACGUGCUGGGCAGAGAGUGUGCGAGGGACCAGUCCCCAGUUAAAAGCUUGGGCCCUGGGUUUCUCAUGAGCUUCUCUGGCAGACAGUGUUUGAAGGAGCUGUCAUGGCUCGUUGCUGGAGGGACAGAUUGUGUGACUCUAGGGAGAAAGGACUCUCGAAAGCGUACGCUGGUUUCCUCUGGAUGAUGCCCAGUGCACCACUCCCCCUGGCUGUUUGUCUUUCUAUCCUUUUGCAGUACUGAUUCCUAGCCAUGGGGAUGACUGUAUGCUGGGUCCUGUGAGCCCUCCUAGGGAUUCACCAAAAGCAAGAGUGGUUUUGGACGUCUGAAACAGUGGGGGCAGCCAUGAGAUUCACCAGUGAGCUCCUGCCUCAUUGAUAUGCAGUGAAAGCCUCGUUUGAAGGGUGGACGAAGCGGUAGGAUGAUGAUCCUUUCAUGCUCGGUGACUAUGGAUGUACCCAUGCUAUAGAGCAGCACUGAGCCACUGACGGGUGUGAGAGGUAACCGUUCCUUACUAAGUUAAAAGGAAAAGAUCCAGAAGUUCCCUGGUUGCUCAGCGGGUUAAGGCUCUGGUGGUGUCACUGCUGUGCCUCUGGAUACAGCUGCGGCAAGGGUUUAAUCCCUGCCUGGGAGAUUCCAUGUGCAAUGCGUGUGGCCAAAAAGAGGACCAAGAAAUCCCGCAUCAGAGGGUUAGCUCACUGCAUCCCUGGGCUGCUUUGCUGAGCUGCCUGAUGUGAGGGGGUACCUGUCAUGAGCACCGGACUUUGGUGUUUGUUAUUUCCUCUAGGCCCAGGCGGGGGGGGGGGGGGGGGUGUGUCCAGGCCUUGGAAAGGUGACCUUCGUGUCAGCCAAAAAUGUUAAAAGUUUGACUUGCUCUCUCCUACAACUGGGAGGACACAAAUCUGUUUCUGGGACGGAGAAAGCUUCAGAUAAACCCGAGCGAGGCAAGAAGGGAAAAAAGCUCUCCAGCCUUUUUUUCAACGUGGCUGCUUCUGUGGCAGCUUCUCCCAGCAUUCCCACCAGAUCUGCCUUGGCCAGGUUCAUUCAACAGCCCAUCCACUGGCUACAUGCUUGCAACACCCACGCUGAGCACUGGCCGCUUGAUGCUUAGGAAACAUUCAGUACAGUUGCUCCAAGCAUCGUGACCCAGGUUCAACUGUGAGGGCAGAACUGCGGGCAGUGGAGGUACCAGAGUGACACACACGUGUGUAGUAGGCAUUGUGGCCGCGUGUAUUAGGAGUUUCCGGAAAGAGGCGGGUAUGACAGAUGCAGUCCUCCUCCCCUCACAGGGAAGAGACUGACUCCACAGAUGUCCUCGUUACCCCAUUCUCCUGGGUCAUUUUUACGCAGAAAUAACUGGCUCAAGAAGAGCCGCCUUUUAUUAACAAUAGACCUGGAGUCAGGGUCCUUUGUUCAUUGAGGAAACAGUCUCAGCACCGCCAAGACACUACAUCUCAGCCUCCUGGGCCUAGUUUGGGGAUGUAGGGAUGAUGUGGGCUGGAACCUGCAAGCAGAUGACAGCCACCUGUUGUGUGAGUGAUGGCGGGAUUUAAGUCCUAGAAACCUAGGAACACAGAGGAGGGCACUGACCCCUGCCAAAGUAUCAGGGGGAGGGGUUGUGGGUGUUUGGUCAAGACACACUUCUCAAGGGUGGGGAGGUUCCUGAGGGAGGCACCGUGAUCUUCCAGUUUACAGACACACAGGCUGAAGGGCACCGACAGCAAAACCAGUGCAGCCAUUUUCCAUUCUCAGUCUUUGGGCUCCAGACCACCAUGGCGGCUGGGUCACCUCCCGAGAGGCCAUGCAGCCACUGAAAGCACCUCCUCUGCCUCUGCUCGCCUCUCAAUUCCUAGUAUCUGCUAAACAGAGGGAGACGGGUCGAGUCCUAACUGGGCCGUAACCGGGCCUGGGGGGUGAUGGCAAAGCCUCUCUGGCAUGGUGCAGUGCCUCCCUGCAGGGAAAGUCAACGUCCUGCCUGCCUGUUGGCUCUGAGGCAGGCCCUUCCCACCAGUGGACUCCGGGUCUCUGGGCUUCAGAGCAGCUCCCCUGAAGGCGACACAGAGAGGGUCUGAGAGCCGUUCACGGUGCCUUUGCCCUGCUGGGUGCCUGGACGUCACCGGUGGACACGGUACUGGGACAACAGUGACUGUCCCAUCAUGGAACAGUAUCUGCAUCUCAGCAACAAAAACCCAAACCAAGUUUGUUGUGAAGUGACGGCAAAGAAGACUGGCUCAGGAGUCUGACAGACCCGGGGCGUGACUCCCAGAUCCACCCUCCACUGCAUCAGCGACUUAACCUCUUUGAGCUUAUUUCCUUGUCUGUGGAAGGCGGUGGGUUGAUACUUACCUCUCUGGCCCUUGGGGAAAUAAAACCGUGUCUGCCCUGCUCACAUGAGCUCAAGAGCCAGGCUUGAGGAAGAGCCGUUUACACUGCACCCCUGUUAGGGACACAUCAGUGUGGAGGGAUCCAGGCCACGGCCCCAGGAGUCUACUCCACCCUCUGACUGGGGUGGCUGUGGGGUAGGGGGGGUGGUGCCAUUUCCAUCUUUUUCUUUGACCUUACGUAUCAGAGACACACGCUUCAUUUCAUACUUAGGUGUGUUCUGCUUAGAGGAGUUGUAGUGAAUGAAGGGGAUCCUCACAGCUGAGUGUGUAGCUGGUAGAACCUACACACUCUCUCUCCCGGACCUUCUAGGAACUGGAUCGUCUGGGUGCCUCCAGGGGUUGACAGCACCCUGUGCAGACACCUGAGGAGCUGCAGGAAGGCACUGGCACAUGACCUUGGAGGGUCCCCCCAUCCUGAGCAGGCAGCUGAUCCCUGCCACCCUCAGGGCCCCAAGAACUAGAAAAUCAGCUCCACUGCAAAGAGAGGAAAGUUACUGUACUUUCUGUUGUCCUAACAGAGAACUCCGACUAUAAAAUCGAGUGGGAAAUAGUGAACGUGUCAUCAAAACAAAGUCCAUGGGCAGAGCAGAUCGGGCCUGUUCCAUUUACUGGGUCACAGACACCAUAAAGUGACAGGUAUCUCCCAUGUUCUGGGUUAUCCCUCCUCACUGUCAGGCAGGUGAUCACCCUGGAUCCAUUGAUAGUUCCAAAAUUGUGAUCUGAUUCCAAAGUCCAUGUUCAAAGGCAAAAGUGGGCCCAAAUACAAUAAGCAGAGAGACCUUUGCCAUCUGUCCCCUGUGCUUAUUAGCAAGGAAGCUUUUCCCAAAAAAGGCAGGCAUCAGAUUGCAUUUCAGCUCAGCUCACUGUGAACCACAGUAAACCUUGUUUUGAUUUGGGGAAUUCAACAAGAAAUCCCCACCACAUCCCAUUCUAUAAAAGUAGGAGUUAACUGACUUCUCAUCCAGGUGCGGCCCAGGUAAAAUGGAAAUUGCACCACCCAACGUGACACCGAACCGAAGAAGGAAACCAGCAGAUGAGGAUGGCGGGAACAGCACCUGUGAGGAUGUGCAGUCUGGGAGUGGUCAGCAGGAACGAUUGUGAGCACACUGGCCAUGUGAGGUACAGAAAGGGGUUUGGGGUGGUUGGAAUGUCAAGUGGGGGGAAUGGAGCAGGAGGGGUCCGGUGAGGAUCAGGCACUCAGGGGCACGCGACUCCUGAUGUGCCUAGUCCAGGAGGCCGGACACUAUCCCUAGAGCAGCGGACAGCCCCCACAGAGGUUUGAACAGGUGUGGCGUUCCUAGAUUAGGACUUCAGAAAGGUUCCUCGGGCAGUGGAAUGGAAAAAGGGUGGCAAAGGAUCAGGAUUGGUGGUGGUCGUGCAGGGUAGAGCUGAGGGUGACCUGGACUAGGGAUCUCACUGUGGUGAUGGAGAGAAGUGGCAAGAUCUUGCCUAGACUUAGGAGCAGAAAGGCGGGGCUUGGUGCCCGAGGGGAUGGUGAGACAGAGGCGGCAGGCACAGAUGACUGUAAGGAUCUCUGGCCAAAGCAGCCGGGGAGAAGGCUGCCUUGCACUGAGUCAGGCAAACACUAGAGGAGGUGCAGAUGUGUGUAGGGACUCGGGGUGGAUGGCUUAGUUUGGACGGGCUGAAUGUUCCUUGCCUUUGGGAUUCAAACAAGUAUGACCUGAAUGACGUGGGGGAGCUGACCUAACCUCUCUGUGCCCAAGACACCUCAUCAGUGAGAGGAGAAUGAGUCUGAUGAUGAAGAAAACUGCUUUCUGUGUCAUUAAUUUAGUCUAGGGGAAUUUUCUUUUACACCACAAAGUACCGUUUGACUGUCAGUUACCCCCUAGGUACAAUGGCAACGUCUCUACCUGUACGCAUGUCUGCUGGGCUUUACAUAUCUGCUUUGUGUCUCCUCUCCGUGUGGCCACUGUGCAUCAUGUAUUGCCAACUGUAAAACAAAUAAAUAAAUAAAUUUAAAAUAA